rnacentral:rRNA from 1 species
CCUACGUGAUGCAGCAGUGGGGAAUAUUGGACAAUGGGCGAAAGCCUGAUCCAGCCAUGCCGCGUGUGUGAAGAAGGCCUUCGGGUUGUAAAGCACUUUCAGUGGGGAAGAAAGCCUUGGGGCUAAUACCCUCGAGGAAGGACAUCACCCACAGAAGAAGCACCGGCUAACUCCGUGCCAGCAGCCGCGGUAAUACGGAGGGUGCGAGCGUUAAUCGGAAUUACUGGGCGUAAAGCGCGCGUAGGCGGUCUGAUAAGCCGGUUGUGAAAGCCCCGGGCUCAACCUGGGAACGGCAUCCGGAACUGUCAGGCUAGAGUGCAGGAGAGGAAGGUAGAAUUCCCGGUGUAGCGGUGAAAUGCGUAGAGAUCGGGAGGAAUACCAGUGGCGAAGGCGGCCUUCUGGACUGACACUGACGCUGAGGUGCGAAAGCGUGGUAGCAAUCAGGAUUAGAUACCCUUAUAGUC